UACGUAGGUGGCAAGCGUUAUCCGGAAUUAUUGGGCGUAAAGCGCGCGCAGGCGGCUUCGCGCGCCCGACGUGAAAGCCCCCGGCUUAACCGGGGAGAGUCGUUGGGGACGGCGGAGCUUGAGGGCGGGAGAGGUCGGUGGAAUUCCCGGUGUAGUGGUGAAAUGCGUAGAGAUCGGGAGGAACACCUGUGGCGAAGGCGGCCGACUGGGCCGACCCUGACGCUGAGGCGCGAAGGCGUGGGGAGCGAACGGG
rnacentral:rRNA from 1 species